GCGGUGUAGCUCAGUUGGUUAGAGCAGCGGAAUCAUAAUCCGCGUGUCGGGGGUUCGAAUCCCUCCACCGC
rnacentral:tRNA from 1 species